rnacentral:rRNA from 1 species
GAUGAACGCUAGCGACAGGCCUAACACAUGCAAGUUGAGGGGUAUUGCAGCAAUGCAAGAGACCGGCGCACGGGUGCGUAACGCGUAUGUAACCUGCCUUACACAGAGGGAUAGCCUUCCGAAAGGGAGAUUAACACCACAUAACAUCAAGAUACCGCAUGGUAUUUUGCUUAAAUCUCAGGAGGUGUAAGAUGGGCAUGCGUAUGAUUAGCUAGUUGGCGGGGUAACGGCCCACCAAGGCGCAGAUCAUUAGGGGUUCUGAGAGGAAGAUCCCCCCAACUGGUACUGAGGCACGGACCAGACGCCUACGGGAGGCAGCAGUGAGGAAUAUUGGUCAAUGGGCGUAAGCCUGAACCAGCCAUGUGGCGUGCAGGACGACUGCCCUAUGGGUUGUAAACUGCUUUUAUAUGGGAAGAAACGACGGAACGAGUGCUGUUUUGCCGGUACUAUACGAAUAAGGAUCGGCUAACUCCGUGCCAGCAGCCGCCGUAACAC